UGUUCUUUCAGUGCCCAUAGGCAUGUUGGCAAGACUGAGAAGGCUGCUUGGGAGAUAGAAUGGAGAACAUGGGGAGACCUGUGAGAGGUAGACAGAUGGUAGACUUCAGUCUCAGUGUAAAACAUGGAGAAAAACUGAUUCUAGGGAAGGCACAAUGAUUGUGUGCUGAAAGCUCCUGGCAGCUGCUGGAAGAACCUGGUCCCAUUCAUCCAUCUCAGUGUGUUGCUGGAAGGCCUGGAGCGCAUCACUACUCCUUUCUGGUCUUCUUCCUUAUACUCUGAGACAGUGCCACCUUCCUGCAUUUCAUGGGCAUCCUGAUUAUACAUGAGGUCACAUGAGAUUGCAGGAAGGAAACAACUUGCAAGGACUAGAGCUCAG